CCGCCCUGGGUUUAUGAGGACUUGACUGCGCACGCGCGGGGAGGAGCCGCAGGGCACGCCGGGAGCAGUUCUCCUGGGCACAGAUGUGAGAAGUUUCUUAGAGAACCUGCCUAUGAAUGAAAUUGCUGAAUUGAAAGGUAUUUCUUCACAUGGCUGCUGAACACGUGACCAUUACAGUUCGCCUCAUUCGUUCAUUUGAGCACCGCAAUUUCAGACCUGUGGUGUAUCAUGGUGUUCAUUUGGACCAAACUGUGAAGGAAUUUAUAGUAUUUCUAAAGAAAGAUAUUCCUUUGAGGACCAGCUUACCACCACCAUUCAGAAAUUAUAAAUAUGAUAAACUAAAGAUUAUUCAUCAGGCUCAUAAGUCGAAGACAAAUGAGCUGGUGUUGAGUUUGGAGGACGACGAUCGACUCCUGCUGAAGGAAGACUGCACACUGAAAGCCGCUGGAAUCGAUUCCGAAGCCCUUUUGCUCUUUCCAUGAAUGCCAGCAGACUGUAUUAACUUCUGGUUUAAUUUAAAAAGCCAAUGUGGAACUUGUUGGAGCAACACCUUAAAGAAUUGCAUGCUUAAUAAUCGGAAGGCUUUCCAUCAGCCAGUGAAACUGAAAUUGCAUUCUUCUGUGAAGAAGAUUAUGAGAAAUACAAAGCUAAUCCCAUAUCAUCUUGGUGAAGAAAUCUUUGAGGGGGAGGAGCGUCCUCCUUGCAUACCUGUGUUAAGCUCUUUUAUUUCAGCAGUGAGAUUUUGAAAUUGAUAAAUAAAUUUUUAAGAACUCAA